rnacentral:rRNA from 1 species
UAGAGAUAGCUGGUUACUCGGGAAAAGGAUCUUAGUCCAACUUUAAAUCUCAACAUAACCCUUAAUAUACCCAUAGAUUUAAAUUUUAUUCAAAUAAGGUACAGCCUAUUUGAAACAGGGUACAACCCCCCAGGUCGGGUAAUGUUUUAACCACAUAACAAAGUAGGCCUAAGAGCAGCCACCUUCCAAAAAGCGUCAUAGCUUAACUAUUUUUCCACCAAUCCCAACCCCCGCUCAAACCCCCCCAACCCCACCGAGUGACUCCAUACUAAUAUGGAUAACCCAAUGUUAGAACUAGUAACAGGAACCACAUUCUCCCCAAAGUAAGUGCAAGCCGGAUUGAACCCCUCACCGGCACCUACCGUCAAUGAACCCCUAGUAAUAACCCCACAAGAAAACCUUACUUACCCUGACGUUAACCUAACACCAGAACUUUUGAGGAAAGAUUUAAAAGGCAGGAAGGAACUCGGCAAAUAUAAACCCCGCCUGUUUACCAA